GACGAACCGUCCAAACGUUAUUCGGAAUUACUGGGCUUAAAGGGUGCGUAGGCGGCGCGGCAAGUUGGGUGUGAAAUCCCUCGGCUCAACCGAGGAACUGCGCCCAAUACUACCGUGCUUGAGGGAGAUAGAGGUGAGCGGAACUUAGGGUGGAGCGGUGAAAUGCGUUGAUAUCCUAAGGAACACCGGUGGCGAAAGCGGCUCACUGGAUCUCUUCUGACGCUGAGGCACGAAAGCUAGGGUAGCGAACGGG
rnacentral:rRNA from 1 species